AAUGGUGUUACAAGGAGGAUUUUGAUCAGCAGGGUUGGUAUUCGUGGGGGUAGAAGCAGGGAUGCGUUGAUGAAUUCCAUGACUGGAGGAAUAAGCCGAAAAUGGUGUGGAAGGUGAAAUGGUAGAAGCUGAAAAUGGGUAGUCUCUUGAUGUUGAUGGUGUCAAGGGAGGAGGGCUUGUUGUACUGAAUGCACUGUUUGCCGAAAAGACACGAGGAUGGG